UUUGAACCGCAGCUUUAGCUUUAUUUAAACCUUAAAUUUAAUCUGAUGUGUUCAGGUUUAAACUCAGUUUCAGUUAUUGAGUGAAAACACCAACAGACUCAGACAUUUAGGACAAACUAAGAGUCAGAUCAGCAGAAACAGAGAACACGGACAUGUCUGCUGUUACUGCGUCACUCUGCUCCACGCUGAUGGUUGCCGUCUUUGUCUCUGCAGACCAGAAAAACAUCACAGCUGAGUCUGGACAGGACGUCACUCUGACAUGUCGAGCUCCAAACAACAACAUCAUGGUUGUAGAGUGGAGCAGAGCUGACCUGGGAGAUGAAUAUGUGCUUCUGUACCGGGAUGAUCACCUUCACUCAGACAACCAGCAUCCAUCUUUUAAGAAUCGGGUGGAUCUGCAGGACAGACAGAUGAAGGAUGGAGACGUGUCUUUAAUUCUGAACAAUGUAACGAUUAAUGACACUGGAACAUACAAGUGCCGUGUCUUAAUGGAAGAAACACAAUCAUGGGAGCUCAUCAGCAUCUACCUGAGAGUCGAUCCUCCAGGAAAACAAGGAGGACACACAGAGGAUGGAGGGAAGGAAGAUGGAUCUGUUGCAUUGAUAGUUGGUGUCUGUAUUCCUGCUGUGCUUCUUGUUGGUGCUGUUGUUUUUUUGAUCUACAGAAAACAUAAAAAGAAGCAGAGUCAGAAUUCAUACCAGCCUCCUGUUGAGCUGCAGCCUGUUUGAAAUGUCUCAGAGUUUUUUCCACAUAAACUCAACAGUGUUGUCAGUGAAGAUUCAGGUACAGACAGAUGAUCUGAUCAGCAGCAGACAGACAUCAAACAUGUCCAGAGUUGGUUUGAUGAUAAAUUUCUCUGAUUAUCAUCAAACCUGUUCAGACUGUGUCAGUGUGUCUCUGUGCUGUCUGUCAGAGACUCUGUGAACUACAGUGUUUGUUCAUCUUCACAGUUUUUGUGGGAUUUGUUGAUGGGAAUGUUUUUUUGGCUUCCAGAUGCUCAUCUUAUUGGUAUUUUUCUGUAGCACAUUUUUUUCAUAUUUAUGUCCUGUAUUUUGGAUUUGUAUUUUCAAGCAAAAAAAAUUGUCAAAUGUUGAUAGAGAUAAAAAAAUAAAUAAAAAAUAACUUCAGCCUGUGAACACAAAAUAUUCAGUUUGUGAGUUCCUUUAUAUACCUCAUAUUAAAACAAAUUCAAGUCUCACAGAGAUGAAAAAAACCUGCAGUGUAUACUGUAAGGAUAGUUGAACACAGUCAGUCUUUAGCUGGCUUGACAAACCUACAUUAAAACUCCAGCUGCAGAUAACUGGUAUCAGAAAGCUGGUUAUCGAUCUGUGUUCAGCUGGGCUUUCUGCUCAGACUCUUGUCUGCACUCACACUGAAAGGAGUGUUUUGCAAGUCAUGUGACCCUUUUUCCACACAAUCACAGUUGUAGAGUGGAGCAGAGCUGACCUGGGAGAUGAUCAGAUGGUGAUGAGAAAUAUUUUAACCACUGAGCACACUCUCAGUGCUGCUGUUUAUUUCUCAGCACAUUAGAGCUGUGGAUCUUUACACUGGAGCCCUUUAAACAUUAAACUUUAUGUCCCACAGCCUGAUAACAGAGAUGUGUAAAUCACUUCAGUUUGUCUCAAAUCAAAGUGAAAUUAGUUUUAUUGAUUGAACAGCUUUACCUGGUGUUUGUUCUGUGUUCUAGUAACUGCAAUUUUUCUGUAUAUGAGACUUGACAGCAGAUUAGAAUCAAGCACAAGAAUAUUUAUACAUUCUCUAACUAACAUAUGCACAUGUCCAUAACAUUAAGACCCACAGCUGGAGCUUUGUUUAGUGGUAUAUAGUGUGAGUACAAGAAAACAAUUAUUACAAUAUGAUGUGUUAACUUUGCUUAGAUGAGGGUUGAUGUUUCAAGUACAGUUUGCUGAUGCUUGUACCUGAAUUUAAUAAACGCUCAUAACUGUCAUAACUUAGAAGUAGGUUUGCAGGAGACUCUUCACAUGCUUGUCUGUAAAUGUAAGACAACAAGAGGCCAAUGACCCCACACAAUGCAGAGUGGGGGUCUCAGUGCCUGUAAUAUGUUAACUCUGCUAACAUAUGUUCAGAUGGUGGUAAAUUAUUGGUUUUUUUUGUUUGUUUUAUGUGGUUUUGUUCAUUACUAACACUGGUGAGUGUAAUCACAUUACUGUUACUGUAAUCACAUUACUGUCAUUUUAUUAUUGACAAAAUAUUAAAGAAAUGUUGAUCUGUUUA
ensembl:lncRNA